rnacentral:rRNA from 1 species
UACGUAGGGGGCAAGCGUUGUCCGGAUUAUUGGGCGUAAAGAGCGUGUAGGCGGCCACACAGGUCUGCUGUGAAAACUCGAGGCUCAACCUCGAGCUGUCGGUGGAAACCGUGUGGCUAGAGUCCGGAAGAGGAGAGUGGAAUUCCCGGUGUAGCGGUGAAAUGCGCAGAUAUCGGGAAGAACACCCGUGGCGAAGGCGGCUCUCUGGGACGGUACUGACGCUGAGACGCGAAAGCGUGGGGAGCGAACAGG